rnacentral:rRNA from 1 species
GACGAACGCUGGCGGCGUGCUUAACACAUGCAAGUCGAACGGAAAGGCCCCCACCUUGGUGGGGGUGCUCGAGUGGCGAACGGGUGAGUAACACGUGGGUGAUCUGCCCUGUACUUCGGGAUAAGCUUGGGAAACUGGGUCUAAUACCGGAUAGGACCAUGGUUUAGUGUCUCAUGGUGGAAGAAUUAUUGUUUUGGUGCAGGAUGAGCUCGCGGCCUAUCAGCUUGUUGGUGGGGUAAUGGCCUACCAAGGCGUCGACGGGUAGCCGGCCUGAGAGGGUGGACGGCCACAUUGGGACUGAGAUACGGCCCAGACUCCUACGGGAGGCAGCAGUGGGGAAUAUUGCACAAUGGGCGCAAGCCUGAUGCAGCGACGCCGCGUGGGGGAUGACGGCCUUCGGGUUGUAAACUCCUUUCGUUAGGGACGAAGCCACACCUUUUUUGGGUGUGGUGACGGUACCUUUGUUAAGAAGCACCGGCUAACUACGUG